rnacentral:rRNA from 1 species
UACGAGGGGGGGCAAGCGUUGUUCGGAAUUAUUGGGCGUAAAGGGCGCGUAGGCGGUUUGACAAGUCUGAUGUGAAAUCUAUGGGCUCAACCCAUAGCCUGCAUUAGAAACUGUCGGGCUUGAAUAUGGGAGAGGUGAGUGGAAUUUCCGGUGUAGCGGUGAAAUGCGUAGAUAUCGGAAGGAACACCUGUGGCGAAAGCGGCUCACUGGACCAUAACUGACGCUGAGGCGCGAAAGCUAGGGGAGCAAACAGG